AUAGGCAUGGCAAAAGCCUUCUACUAUGAAGGUCACCAGGUGGGUUCUUGCUGUUUCACUUUUCUGGCUCUCUGGUUAUUCCCCUUCCAUCCUAUCUUUGCGAAUCAAGCAAGUUUUGUAAUUGCCUUCAUCUAUAGCUGGCCCAGGAAAGGCUGCUAAAGAAUAUUAGUGUGAGUGUUUAUGGAAACCUGGUUUUGGUUUCAAUUGGAAGCUGCACUAUAGCUAAUCACUUUUGUCCUUAAAUGCUGUGCAGUCACUGAGGGUGGAGGGUGAACCCAUAAGGAUAUAUCCUACUGAUGCACACUAAGUGCAAAGCCAUGGUGGCUUCUUCAGACAGUUGCUCAAGGGCCUGCCUUCUGCUCUGCCAAGACCUACUGGAGCUCUGCUUGCUUUUCCUCACAGCUCUCUGCAGACCCGAGAGCUGGCAGGAUGCCCCUGCCCUACCCCGAAGCUUUUCCUGUGUCCUGGUAGAAGAGUCAGUCUAAGAUAUCACUGUGAUCAAGAAAGCCAUGCCUUCUGAGUCACUGAGCCAGAGGAGAGGCCAAGGACAGCACCCCUUGUUUGGGGGAGGGUCUCUGGGUGUCUGACCAUCCCAGAGACUACAAAGAAAGACCUGGCUCUAGUUUCCUUUCUCUUUCAGUAAACAUACGCCUCACUUACUGGAACCUGGUUCAGUGAGAACAGUGUUCUGCCUGAACAGAGCAUUGCCACGUCAGGCCAGAGUGAGGGUGGUGUGGUUCCAAUAGACAAAACCAGUACAACCCAUGACUGACAUGUGACAGAGUACAAGGGUCUGGAAAGGGAAGAUCCCACAUCCUUCCUCCACUCCCAGUUCCUUGCUGCGGGAGGAGCACUGGUCUCCUGUUCUCUGUGUACAGUGGUUUAAGAAAGCUGGCUUUGCUCUGCCUUUGGAUUCAGAGGAGAUGGAGUACAGCUCUGGGAAUCCCAGGUCGAAUGCACUAAAUGAGAAUCUAGUACUUAUUCUGAUGGCAAGAGGAAGAAGCAAUGACUAGCGGGUAAAAUAACACCACAUUGAAGCACAGCGACAAUGUGAGAGGCCCUGCUGGCUGUCUUACGUGCAGCCACAAUGCUGGUUCUAAGACACCAUGGAAAUAUACCCUGCAUGCCAGAAGUUUGUGUAAUAAGGUGUGCUAAUUUCAGUUAUGGAAAACUUAGCUUUCCGUACUUGGAUUUCAUUUCAAAAGAGAUUUUGUAUUUUUUAAAUGCAUUUGUUUUCCUACAGCGACAUGUGUCUCUGAGAUACACCUGAUACUACUGUAUAACUUCUGAGUAGCGGGUUCAACUCCACCCUUUUUUACAUCUAGGUACAUUGACAUUUGCAUAUGCUGCCACCAGGUGGUGGCAAAUCCCUUGAGUCACGUGUAUUUUAACUUUGAAAAAAUCCCAUUAAAUUAAAAAAACACUAAAAUAUUUCUUUAAAUUAUAUCUUUAGAUGCUCAAUAUGUAAAGUAAGUCAGCCAAAUUACGAUAGCAAGAGUGGGAGAGAAGUUUCAAAGCCCAGUACCAUUUGAAAAUCCCCAUAAUGCUCGUAUUUUAUCUGGCAUUAAGAUAUGAACUGUUUCUUCAAAUAAAAAAAGAAAACUUAAAGAAUAGAAAAAGUAAUAGUCCAGAGC
rnacentral:lncRNA from 1 species